GGCUCCAUAGUGUAGUGGCUAGCACAUCUGCUUUACACGCAGAAGGUCCUGGGUUCGCACCCCAGGUGGAGCCA
rfam:Pteropus alecto contig45348, whole genome shotgun sequence.